CCGGAUGGUUCAGGGUGGAGCUGUCCUCUCUGGAAGGGACCGGAUGGUUCAGGGUGGAGCUGUCCUCUCUGGAAGGGACUGGAUGAUUCAGGGUGGAGCUGUCCUCUCUGGAAGGGACCGGAUGGUUCAGGGUGGAGCUGUCCUCUCUGGAAGGGACCGGAUGGUUCAGGGUGGAGCUGUCCUCUCUGGAAGGGGCCGGAUGGUUCAGGGUGGAGCUGUCCUCUCUGGAAGGGACCGGAUGGUUCAGGGUGGAGCUGUCCUCUCUGGAAGGGACAGGAUGGUUCAGGGUGGAGCUGUCCUCUCUGGAGGGGGCCCGUUGGUGUAGGGUGGUGCUGUCCUCUCUGGAAGGGGCCGGAUGGUUCAGGGUGGAGCUGUCCUCUCUGGAGGUGGCCCUGUGGUGUAGGGUGGUGCUGGUCUAUCUGGAGGUGGCCCUGUGGUGUAGGGUGGUGCUGGUCUCCCUGGAAGGGGCCCAGUGGUGUAUGGUGGUGCUGGUCUCUCUAGGGGUGGGGGGGGUGGUAGUGUCUCUGGAGGGUGGUGUUGGUCUCUCUGGAGGUGGCCCAGUGGUGGAGGGUGGUGCUGGUCUCUCUGGAGAGGGCCCAGUAGUGUAGGGUGGUGCUGGUCUAUCUGGAGGUGGCCCUGUGGUGUAGGGUGGUGCUGGUCUCUCUGGAAGGGGCCCAGUGGUGUAGGGUGGUGCUGGUCUCUCUCUCUUUCUCUUUCUUUCAGUUUCCUAGCCAACACCUUGUUGGUGAAUGUCACAGCGGUUCACUAGGUAAACAUUGUCCAAGAGAGCACAGCCUCUGGACAGCUCAACGUGGUUGCUCUGAAUAAUAUGGAAGGGCAUAUCUCCACGUGGUAACAGGGUGGACUUAGUGAUUAUGGUGUUAGCUCAGCAGCUCUGGCUGCCACUUAAUUUGGCGAUUGACAGACUUUUUUUCAAGGCGCUUGCUGUUGUUGGGCACCAUGGCUUACUGACUGACAUGCUAGGGAAUAGCAGUUUCUCUCUGAGAAAAUGUCCCAUUGGAGUCACAUGUGAGAGGAAGGCCCCUAAUUGGCAGGUAAUCCAAAGAAAGAAGACGAGCGGCCGGU
ensembl:lncRNA